rnacentral:rRNA from 1 species
GAGCGAAGCACUUAAGUUUGAUUCUUCGGAUGAAGACUUUUGUGACUGAGCGGCGGACGGGUGAGUAACGCGUGGGUAACCUGCCUCAUACAGGGGGAUAACAGUUAGAAAUGGCUGCUAAUACCGCAUAAGACCACAGUACUGCAUGGUACAGUGGUAAAAACUCCGGUGGUAUGAGAUGGACCCGCGUCUGAUUAGGUAGUUGGUGAGGUAACGGCCCACCAAGCCGACGAUCAGUAGCCGACCUGAGAGGGUGACCGGCCACAUUGGGACUGAGACACGGCCCAGACUCCUACGGGAGGCAGCAGUGGGGAAUAUUGCACAAUGGGCGAAAGCCUGAUGCAGCGACGCCGCGUGAAGGAUGAAGUAUUUCGGUAUGUAAACUUCUAUCAGCAGGGAAGAAAAUGACGGUACCUGACUAAGAAGCCCCGGCUAACUACGUGCCAGCAGCCGCGGUAAUACGUAGGGGGCAAGCGUUAUCCGGAUUUACUGGGUGUAAAGGGAGCGUAGACGGCUGUGCAAGUCUGAAGUGAAAGGCAUGGGCUCAACCUGUGGACUGCUUUGGAAACUGUGCAGCUAGAGUGUCGGAGAGGUAAGUGGAAUUCCUAGUGUAGCGGUGAAAUGCGUAGAUAUUAGGAGGAACACCAGUGGCGAAGGCGGCUUACUGGACGAUGACUGACGUUGAGGCUCGAAUGCGUGGGGAGCAAACAGGAUUAGAUACC